GACGAACGCUGGCGGCGUGCUUAACACAUGCAAGUCGAACGGAAAGGCCCUGCUUGCAGGGUGCUCGAGUGGCGAACGGGUGAGUAACACGUGGGUGAUCUGCCCCUUACUUUGGGAUAAGCCUGGGAAACUGGGUCUAAUACUGGAUAGGACCAUGCUGUAGGUGGUGUGGUGGAAAGAUUAGUUUCGGUAAGGGAUGAGCUCGCGGCCUAUCAGCUUGUUGGUGGGGUACUGGCCUACCAAGGCGUCGACGGGUAGCCGGCCUGAGAGGGUGGACGGCCCCAUUGGGACUGAGAUACGGCCCAGACUCCUACGGGAGGCCGCAGUGGGGAAUAUUGCACAAUGGGCGCAAGCCUGAUGCAGCGACGCCGCGUGGGGGAUGACGGCCUUCGGGUUGUAAACUCCUUUCAGCCAUGACGAAGCCCUUGUGGUGACGGUAGUGGUAGAAGAAGCACCGGCUAACUACGUG
rnacentral:rRNA from 1 species